GGGGAACUGAAACAUCUAAGUACCCCGAGGAAAAGAAAUCAACCGAGAUUCCCCCAGUAGCGGCGAGCGAACGGGGAGCAGCCCAGAGUCUGAAUCAGCUUGUGUGUUAGUGGAACGGUCUGGAAAGUCCGACGGUACAGGGUGAUAGUCCCGUACACCAAAAUGCACAGGCUGUGAACUCGAAGAGUAGGGCGGGACACGUGGUAUCCUGUCUGAAUAUGGGGGGACCAUCCUCCAAGGCUAAAUACUCCUGACUGACCGAUAGUGAACCAGUACCGUGAGGGAAAGGCGAAAAGAACCCCGGCGAGGGGAGUGAAAAGAACCUGAAACCGUGUACGUACAAGCAGUGGGAGCACCUUCGGGUGUGACUGCGUACCUUUGUAUAAUGGGUCAGCGAC
rnacentral:rRNA from 1 species